UCUCCUACGUAUUUACGCUAUGCAGCCUCCUCUCGCUUUCCUCUAUUCACAAUCUGCAUCGAACACUACCACCAUCGUUACCUCGCCUUCCAUCUUCUGUCGGCGCUGCUACCGCAUCGAAUCACCACACUCUCCUUCGUUCACUGCAGUACCGUGCUCCAAAGUUUGAAGCCCUAGUUUUCCCAAUUGAAGCUUCGAUUAGACUUUUCAGAUUCAUUGCAAUAUCAGUCUAUAGUUGAUGCAGAGUGGAAUAUCAUUUAUGAUAAGUUGGAUAAAUGUGUGAAGAGUGGUGCCAAGAUUGUACUUUCUCGUCUUGCUAUUGGUGAAAUUCAGUUUUUAAAUGUUUUUUUGUUAUCAGUAUUUUGCAGAAAGAGACAUCUUUUGUGCUGGAAGAGUUGUUAAAGAUGAGGUCAACAAUGUUAUAGAUGAGGCCCACAGAUAUCAAUGCUACAUCAAUUAGGGGACAUACUACUGUGGACCCCCCUUGCCCCUCCUUUACCUGAUAGAAAUGGAAGAUGAUUUGAUCAUUACUCUGUACCAUUCUCCGACUAUUAGGAACCAAUGCCCUUCCAUACAAUAUGGGGUAUUCCAGUCAAUUUACAGUUACUCGAAAGAAAAGCGUGAAAGAUGGCUUAAACGCGUUCUAUGUCGCCUGCAGUUAAUGACACCAAUCCAUACAAUGUAAUUAGACCAAGGGAGAAAGCUCACAGACUUCAUACAAGAAGGAUGCAAAGAAGAGAAAACAAUGUCCAAUCAUUUGAAAAGCUUCGCCAGUGAUAAUGACUAGAUGAAGAAUGUGUGCAAGAGAGGAGAAAAAGAGACAUGUUUACCUUUUGAGAAUCAUCGUUCACAGAAGAACCCCAUCCCUUUCAGCUUUCAGUUUUCACCUCUGUAUGUGUGGUUGGUCGAACACAAGUUUACCCUUGGAAGCAAUUUGAAUUUACUUUUAAUCCACAUUGAUCUUUAUAUGUUUGUUUUUUGAAAUAUUGGAUAAAAUAUAUGGAUUUUGUUUUUUU